GACGUAGGGCGCGAGCGUUGUCCGGAUUUAUUGGGCGUACAGAGCUCGUAGGCGGUGUGUCGCGUCGGCCGUGAAAACCUGCAGCUUAACUGUGGGCUUGCGGUCGAUACGGGCAUCACUGGAGUUCGGCAGGGGAGACUGGAAUUCCUGGUGUAGCGGUGAAAUGCGCAGAUAUCAGGAGGAACACCGGUGGCGAAGGCGGGUCGCUGGGCCGAUACUGACGCUGAGGAGCGAAAGCGUGGGGAGCGAACAGG
rnacentral:rRNA from 1 species